GGGACGUUAGCCCAGCGGUUUAGAGCGCUGCCUUCACACGGCAGAGGUCACUGGUCCGAAUCCAGUACGUCCCA
rnacentral:tRNA from 1 species